ensembl:lncRNA
UAGAUUAUUCUGAGCCGAGGUCUGGAAAGAAACAACAACCAAUUCCCCUGCUCCGGGACAUACACGGCCUCUUGGAAUCUCUUCCCAAGACUCUCUUCCCAGCCUAUCACAGAAGCACCUGGCCAUGUCGACAGUAAUCUUUCUCACAAGACGUCUCCAUUAGAGCAGCGAAACAAAUGAGGGGGAGCUGGAAGUCUCUGCUUCCACAAUCUUUAUUGUGUGUGUGCUGCAGCAGGAGAACAGCAGCAGUGUUCAGAAGCUGCAGCAGACAGCCGUUCAGUUCGAGCGGCUCUGCAAACAGCAGCGCUACUGGAUGCUCUGUGUCAAAAGGUACAAAGACUGUCUGACGGAGGAGAGGGAGGCGGUGGUUCAGCAGGUCAGUGACCUGGAGCAGACCGUCCUGAAGCCCAGGGGAUGUUCCCACUGCAGCAGACAGUACCACUGCCCCCUGCAGGACAGGGGCAGCAACUCCAGGCAUCGGCACCAGUCUAUGUGUGGUGCAGAGUUCCGGGCUGACCAGCAGGGGGAGCCGUGGUCAGCCCUGUGUGAGGACAAAGUCAUCACUCAGGUGGGAGGCGUGGUCGACACGGAGCAGAAACCUCCUUGAGGUUCUCCCUCCGACCAGACGAGUGUGGCUCUCCUCCCAGCCCUCUUUAGAAGAUCGAAGAACACCAGAGAGACUGUACGUCGGAACUCCGUCCGCACUCUGGUUUCACUGUUGUUAUUGUGGAGUGAACACUGAAAUAAUAAAGAGACAAUGAAGACAUGCUGUGUUGAGGUUCCUUCUCGUCUACACAUGCACCAAACAUGCACGUCUGGUUCCGUUUAGCGGUAAUAGCACGGUAAUCACCACCUGCAGACCAGCGAAUGCACCUGAGAGUUUGGGUUUGGUGUGUUCUCCUGCCAGACACUGGGGGGAACAAAACAGCUGGUGUCAACAGGAAACGAGGCUAGG